rnacentral:miRNA from 1 species
UGGGGGACCUGGAGGACCAGGAGGCCCUGGAGGGCCUGGAGGUCCCAUCUUUCCAGGGGUGCCUGCAGCUCCA